AGAGAAAAGUAAAAGUUAAAAUAUAUCACGUAUUCCAACAAUUACUACAAAAAUCCUUUGUCUGGAAGCAAAAUAGGCUUACUUUACUUAAAACACAGCCUCCCGCCAAACAAACAAACAAAACAACACGUUUAUUUAGGGUAUGUGGUGGUCAGAGGACAGCUUGCUUGGAGAUGGCUCCUUCCACCAUGAGAGUUCCAGGGAUCAAACACAGGUUGUCAGGUUUGUGUAGCAGGUAUCCUUACCUGCUGAGCCAUAUUGCCAUCCACAUUCAUUUCUUUUGCUGUGUCUCAUGCAUGAAUGGCAACCACUCUAAGAGCUGAACUAUAUCCCCAGCUUUGCAAAAUCUGCUUUUAAGCAUCCAGAAACAGUUAAUGAACUUAGAAUUCACAGCCCAUCAUCAAUUAUUCUUGCAACGUAGGCUAACUUUUAAUUUUCUCCAAUUGCCCCUCAGUGAUCAGAUAUGUAGACAUACUCUACACAUCAACGUACAUGUGUUUUCACAGAUGUGUAAUGCACAGAUUGUGUUUGUCUGUAGCUGGAUUUACACUCCGUUUAUUGACUUUACAGGUCUCGACAUGACUUCGGCAGCUGAUGAAAUGAGAAGCAUUGCGGCACUUCUGAGUAGCUUCUUUUUUUCCCCCCCAGAGACAAGGUUUCUCUGUAGUUUUGGUGCCUGUCCUGGAACUAGCUCUUGUAGACCAGGCUGGCCUCAAACUCACAGAGAUCCUACUGCCUCUGCCUCCCGAGUGCUAGGAUUAAAGGUGUGUGCCACCACCACCGGGCUCUGAGUAGCUUCUUGUAAACUGUCAAGGACUGGGAAGUCUUGUUAGAGUCAGAAGAAUCCCUUCCUCCCCAGAAGCUAUCUUGCCACCAAACCUGCAGGUGUUUUUUAUGUUUUACUUUUUUGUACUUUGAACGAGAAUGUUCUCCAUAAGGCUCAACUAUGUGAAUACUUGGGUCUCCAGUUGGAGGCAGUUUGGGGAGAUUUAGAUGGUAUAGGUUUACUUUACUUAAAACAUCCCAAAUUAUUUAGGGUUAUGUGAUGGCCAGAGAAAAGCAGGUUUUGAGAUUAUAUAGUCUCAUUGUGCUUCCAGUUUGCUCUGCCUACUUCAUGUUCAUAGCUAGAGGUGUGAUCACUCAUCUUCCUGCUUGAGCGACCAUGCCUGCCACUGUGACCAUUCCUCCCUACCACAGUGGAGCCCCAUCCCUUUGGAUCUGUAAGCCCAAAGAAGCUCUUCCAUAAACUGACUUGGUCAUAGAAUCUGAUCAGAGCAAACACAAAAUAACUAAUACGGAAGUGGGUAGAGACUGGCCUGCUGCCUCACACUGACGUCACUAAGUGUGGCCGGUGUGGCCCUGAGGGAGGAAGUGUGUCACUGCAGAGGCAGGCUUUGAGGUCUCAUAUAUAUUCAAGCCACGCCCAGUGAGACAGUAUACUUCCUGUUGCCUCUGGAUAAAGAUGUAAGGACUCUCAACUCCAGUUACAUGCCUGCCUUGCAUGCUGCCUUGCUUCCCACAUUUCCUGCUAAGAACAUUUUAAGAUUGUUAAAUUUGUUUAUUAUGUAAUGGACUAACCCUCUGAAUUGUAAGCAAGCCACCCCAAUUAAAUAUAAGAGUUGCUAUGGUCAUGCUGUCUCUUCACAGCAAUAAAAACCCUAAGACACCAUGUUACUUUUUUGAGGACUGUGGAGGACUGUGGAAGACUGAAUCAAGAGUGAUUGAAUGCUUUAAGCAGCACUUAGUAAGCUAUUCUAAUAGAAGCCUGGAAAAUAGUGUGGACUACAAAGACCCAGCUCAAGUGGUCUGAAAGAGGAACGUUAUUAGCAACUGGACUAGAGGGCAUUCAUGUGAUAUUUUGGUAAGAAUCUGUCUGUUCCAGAGAAGCUAGCUAACAAGGAAGACCCUAAGCGGAUGCAUGGAUCCCCCUAGGAAGGGAAAAUAGACAAGAUCUCCUGUCAGUGUGAGGGAGGGGAGGAGAACAUGA